rnacentral:rRNA from 1 species
AGAGUUUGAUCCUGGCUCAGGAUGAACGCUAGCUACAGGCUUAACACAUGCAAGUCGAGGGGCAUCAUGGCGGUUGCUUGCAACCGCCGAUGGCGACCGGCGCACGGGUGAGUAACGCGUAUCCAACCUGGCCGUUGCCACGGCACAGCCCGCCGAAAGGCGGAUUAAUGCGGUAUGAGGCGCUUCGAUGGCAUCAGAAGAGCGCCAAAGCUUCGGCGGCAGCGGAUGGGGAUGCGUCCGAUUAGGCAGCAGGCGGGGCAACGGCCCACCUGGCCGACGAUCGGUAGGGGUCCUGAGAGGGAGGCCCCCCACACUGGGACUGAGACACGGCCCAGACUCCUACGGGAGGCAGCAGUGAGGAAUAUUGGUCAAUGGGCGGAAGCCUGAACCAGCCAAGUAGCGUGCGGGAUGACGGCCCUAUGGGUUGUAAACCGCUUUUUCACGGGGAUAAAGUGCGCCACGCGUGGCGCUUUGCAGGUACCGUGCGAAUAAGGACCGGCUAAUUCCGUGCCAGCAGCCGCGGUAAUACGGAAGGUCCGGGCGUUAUCCGGAAUCAUUGGGUUUAAAGGGAGCGUAGGCCGCAUGUCAAGCGUGCUGUGAAAUCCCGGGGCUCAACCCCGGAAGCGCAGCGCGAACUGGCGUGCUUGAGUUGCAUCGAGGCAGGCGGAAUUCGUGGUGUAGCGGUGAAAUGCUUAGAUAUCACGAAGAACCCCGAUUGCGAAGGCAGCCUGCCAGUUGCACACUGACGCUGAUGCUCGAAGGCGCGGGUAUCGAACAGGAUUAGAUACCCUGGUAGUCCGCGCGGUAAACGAUGGAUGCCCGCCCUUGGGCCGCUACGGUUCAGGGGCCAAGCGAAAGCGUUAAGCAUCCCACCUGGGGAGUACGCCGGCAACGGUGAAACUCAAAGGAAUUGACGGGGGCCCGCACAAGCGGAGGAACAUGUG